rnacentral:rRNA from 1 species
UACGUAGGUGGCAAGCGUUGUCCGGAUUUACUGGGCGUAAAGGGCGUGCAGGCGGUCUGUUAAGUCUAGGGUGAAAGCUCCCGGCUCAACCGGGGAACUGCGUGUGAUACUGGCGGGCUUGAAUUCGGGAGAGGGAUGUGGAAUUCCAGGUGUAGCGGUGAAAUGCGUAGAUAUCUGGAGGAACACCGGUGGCGAAGGCGGCAUCCUGGACCGAGAUUGACGCUGAGGCGCGAAAGCUAGGGGAGCAAACGGGG